rnacentral:rRNA from 1 species
CUGUCGGCGUGCUUAACACAUGCAAGUCGAACGGAAAGGCCCUGCUUUUGUGGGGUGCUCGAGUGGCGAACGGGUGAGUAACACGUGAGUAACCUGCCCUUGACUUUGGGAUAACUUCAGGAAACUGGGGCUAAUACCGGAUAGGAGCUCCUGCUGCAUGGUGGGGGUUGGAAAGUUUCGGCGGUUGGGGAUGGACUCGCGGCUUAUCAGCUUGUUGGUGGGGUAGUGGCUUACCAAGGCUUUGACGGGUAGCCGGCCUGAGAGGGUGACCGGCCACAUUGGGACUGAGAUACGGCCCAGACUCCUACGGGAGGCAGCAGUGGGGAAUAUUGCACAAUGGGCGGAAGCCUGAUGCAGCAACGCCGCGUGCGGGAUGACGGCCUUCGGGUUGUAAACCGCUUUCGCCUGUGACGAAGCGUGAGUGACGGUAAUGGGUAAAGAAGCACCGGCUAACUACGUGCCAGCAGCCGCGGUGAUACGUAGGGUGCGAGCGUUGUCCGGAUUUAUUGGGCGUAAAGGGCUCGUAGGUGGUUGAUCGCGUCGGAAGUGUAAUCUUGGGGCUUAACCCUGAGCGUGCUUUCGAUACGGGUUGACUUGAGGAAGGUAGGGGAGAAUGGAAUUCCUGGUGGAGCGGUGGAAUGCGCAGAUAUCAGGAGGAACACCAGUGGCGAAGGCGGUUCUCUGGGCCUUUCCUGACGCUGAGGAGCGAAAGCGUGGGGAGCGAACAGGCUUAGAUACCCUGGUAGUCCACGCUGUAAACGGUGGGUACUAGGUGUGGGGUCCAUUCCACGGGUUCCGUGCCGUAGCUAACGCUUUAAGUACCCCGCCUGGGGAGUACGGCCGCAAGGCUAAAACUCAAAGGAAUUGACGGGGCCCCGCACAAGCGGCGGAGCAUGCGGAUUAAUUCGAUGCAACGCGUAGAACCUUACCUGGGUUUGACAUGGAUCGGGAGUGCUCAGAGAUGGGUGUGCCUCUUUUGGGGUCGGUUCACAGGUGGUGCAUGGCUGUCGUCAGCUCGUGUCGUGAGAUGUUGGGUUAAGUCCCGCAACGAGCGCAACCCUUGUUCACUGUUGCCAGCACGUUAUGGUGGGGACUCAGUGGAGACCGCCGGGGUCAACUCGGAGGAAGGUGGGGAUGACGUCAAGUCAUCAUGCCCCUUAUGUCCAGGGCUUCACGCAUGCUACAAUGGCUGGUACAGAGAGUGGCGAGCCUGUGAGGGUGAGCGAAUCUCGGAAAGCCGGUCUCAGUUCGGAUUGGGGUCUGCAACUCGACCUCAUGAAGUCGGAGUCGCUAGUAAUCGCAGAUCAGCAACGCUGCGGUGAAUACGUUCCCGGGGCUUGUACACACCGCCCGUCAAGUCAUGAAAGUUGGUAACACCCGAAGCCGGUGGCUUAACCGUUGUGGGGGAGCCGUCGAAGGUGGGACUGGUGAUUAG